AAUGAACGUUGGCGGCGUGGAUUAGGCAUGCAAGUCGCGCGAUAAGUGUAGCAAUACAUGGAAAGCGGCGAAAGGGACAGUAAUGUAUGGGAACCUACCCUGAGGCUCGGGAUAGCGGCGGGAAACUGCCGGUAAUACCGAAUAAUGUCUCUGGACCAAAGGUGUGAUUCCUCCUUGGGAUGGGCCCAUAUGCUAUUAGCUAGUUGGCGAGGUAAAAGCUCACCAAGGCUAAGAUGGCUAGCGGGUGUGAGAGCACGACCCGCGUCACUGGGACUGAGAUACUGCCCAGAAACCUACGGGUGGCUGCAGUCGAGAAUCUUCGGCAAUGGGCGAAAGCCUGACCGAGCGACGCCGCGUGCGGGAUGAAGGCCCUCGGGUUGUAAACCGCUGUCGAGGGGGACGAAAUUCUGGUGGGUACUCCCACCAGAUUGACCGAUCCCUGGAGGAAGGGUGGGCUAAGUUCGUGCCAGCAGCCGCCGUAA
rnacentral:rRNA from 1 species